GCGACCCCAGGUCAGA
rnacentral:rRNA from 2 species